CCUACGGGUGGCAGCAGUGAGGAAUAUUGGUCAAUGGCCGUAAGGCUGAACCAGCCAUGCCGCGUGCAGGACGAAGGCUCUACGUAUUGUAAACUUCUUUUGUAAGGGGAUAAAGGGCUCUACGUGUAGGGGUUUGAAUGUACCUUAUGAAUAAGCAUCGGCUAACUCCGUGCCAGCAGCCGCGGUAAUACGGAGGAUGCGAGCGUUAUCCGGAUUGAUUGGGUUUAAAGGGUGCGUAGGUUGUUUUUUAAGUUAGCGGUGAAAGACCGAGGCUCAACCACAGGACUGCCGUUGAAACUGGAGGACUAGAGAUCGGAUGAGGUAGGCGGAAUGCGUGGUGUAGCGGUGAAAUGCAUAGAUAUCACGCAGAACUCCGAUUGCGAAGGCAGCUUGCUAGGCCAGAACUGACACUGAAGCACGAAAGCGUGGGGAUCGAACAGGAUUAGAUACCCGUGUAGUC
rnacentral:rRNA from 1 species